UGGGGAUUAUUGGACAAUGGAGGAAACUCUGAUCCAGCAAUUCUGUGUGUGUGAAGAAGGUUUUAGGACUGUAAAACACUUUUAGUAGGGAAGAAAAAAAUGACGGUACCUACAGAAGAAGCAACGGCUAAAUACGUGCCAGCAGCCGCGGUAAUACGUAUGUUGCGAGCGUUAUCCGGAAUUAUUGGGCUUAAAGGGCAUCUAGGCGGUAAGACAAGUUGAAGGUGAAAACCUGUGGCUCAACCAUAGGCUUGCCUACAAAACUGUUGAACUAGAGUACUGGAAAGGUGGGUGGAACUACACGAGUAGAGGUGAAAUUCGUAGAUAUGUGUAGGAAUGCCGAUGAUGAAGAUAACUCACUGGACAGAAACUGACGCUGAAGUGCGAAAGCUAGGGGAGCAAACAGG
rnacentral:rRNA from 1 species